UACGAAGGGUGCAAACGUUGCUCGGAAUCACUGGGCGUAAAGCGCAAGUAGGCGGCUUUUUAAGUCAGGGGUGAAAUCCUGGAGCUCAACUCCAGAACUGCCUUUGAUACUGAGAAGCUUGAGUCCGGGAGAGGUGAGUGGAACUGCGAGUGUAGAGGUGAAAUUCGUAGAUAUUCGCAAGAACACCAGUGGCGAAGGCGGCUCACUGGCCCGGUACUGACGCUGAGGUGCGAAAGCGUGGGGAGCAAACAGG
rnacentral:rRNA from 1 species